rnacentral:tRNA from 1 species
GCAUCAGUGGCGGAAUUGGUAGACGCCCUGGAUUUAGGUUCCAGUGCUCGUGAGGGCGUGUCAGUUCGAGUCUGACCUGAUGUA